UACGUAGGGGGCAAGCGUUGUCCGGAUUUAUUGGGCGUAAAGAGCGUGUAGGCGGCCAGGUAGGUCAGCUGUGAAAACUCGAGGCUCAACCUCGAGACGUCGGUUGAAACCACCUGGCUAGAGUCCGGAAGAGGAGAGUGGAAUUCCUGGAUGUAGCGGUGAAUGACGCAGAUAUCAGGAAGAACACCCGUGGCGAAGGCGGCUCUCUGGGACGGUACUGACGCUGAGACGCGAAAGCGUGGGGAGCGAACAGG
rnacentral:rRNA from 1 species